UACGUAGGGUGCGAGCGUUAAUCGGAAUUACUGGGCGUAAAGCGUGCGCAGGCGGCGCGUUAAGACAGGUGUGAAAGCCCCGAGCUUAACUUGGGAAUUGCGCUUGUGACUGGCGUGCUGGAGUGUGGCAGAGGGAGGUGGAAUUCCACGUGUAGCAGUGAAAUGCGUAGAGAUGUGGAGGAACACCGAUGGCGAAGGCGGCGACCUGGUCCUUUUACUGACGCUGAGGCGCGACAGCGUGGGGAGCAAACAGG
rnacentral:rRNA from 1 species